rnacentral:rRNA from 1 species
AUUGAACGCUGGCGGCAUGCCUUACACAUGCAAGUCGAACGGUAACAGGUCUUCGGAUGCUGACGAGUGGCGAACGGGUGAGUAAUACAUCGGAACGUGCCCGAGAGUGGGGGAUAACGAAGCGAAAGCUUUGCUAAUACCGCAUACGAUCUCAGGAUGAAAGCAGGGGACCGCAAGGCCUUGCGCUCACGGAGCGGCCGAUGGCAGAUUAGGUAGCUGGUGGGAUAAAAGCUUACCAAGCCGACGAUCUGUAGCUGGUCUGAGAGGACGACCAGCCACACUGGGACUGAGACACGGCCCAGACUCCUACGGGAGGCAGCAGUGGGGAAUUUUGGACAAUGGGCGCAAGCCUGAUCCAGCCAUGCCGCGUGCAGGAUGAAGGCCUUCGGGUUGUAAACUGCUUUUGUACGGAACGAAAAGACUCUGGUUAAUACCUGGGGUCCAUGACGGUACCGUAAGAAUAAGCACCGGCUAACUACGUGCCAGCCGCCGCAGUAA